CGCACCGUAGCUCACCAGCCGCUCCCCUCCCCCUCCCGCCCCCACUCCGUCUCAUCGAGCAGCAGUUGCGUUCUCCAACAGCUACAGCUUAGGGCGUGCCCGCCUUCAACGGUAAUUAAAAGAACUCAUACAGAAAGCGAAUAAGACUAACGAUAUCUCCCAGUCAAGAGCAGAACAGCCCAAGCAGCCACAACUAGACAUCUUCCCUAGAACCUUUCAUGGGGACAGGAAAAGAUGUUUUUCUAAAGAGUGGUACAGCAGAUAUAAAUGGCUCGAAUAUUCUCAGAGUAAAGACUCUGCCUACUGUUAUGCCUGUCGUCACUUCAGUCUGCACUCCUCAGGUGAUUCUGUAUUUACAUCUGAAGAGGGCUUUAAAAAUUGGAAAAAGGCAACCUUUAAAGAUGGGGGACUUUUAGGCCAUGCCAAAUCUGAAGCCCAUACUAAUGCCAUGUUAGCAUGGGCAGAGUAUGAAAAAUCCACAGCAAGCACAUCCUCUCUCUCCGCUUCCUUAAAUGCAGAAUACAAUAAAUUGGUGAAGGAAAAUAGAGAGUACAUUCAAAUUAUUGGAGAAACAUUGCUCCUCACAGCUACACAGAACAUAGCACAGAGAGCACAUAAAGAAUCAGAUGGUGAGAAUAAAGGAAAUUUUCUCUCUAUUAUGGAACUGAUAGCCAAAAACAAUCCCACAGUCAAAAAAAAAGACAAGUCAAAGAAAUGCAACAUAUCUUGGGCACGCAAAAUGAAAUAAUUGAUUGUCUAGCUGAAAUGGUCCGCUCUUCAAUAACGAGUGAAGUUGCUCAAAGUGAGGCUUUCAGCAUCUUGGUUGAUGAGACUAAAGACCUCAGCAAAAAAGAA